rnacentral:rRNA from 1 species
UUGCAGGCUGNAACCCGCCUGCAUGAAGUCGGAAUUGCUAGUAAUCGCGGAUCAGCAUGCCGCGGUGAAUACGUUCCCGGGCCUUGUACACACCGCCCGUCACACCAUGGGAGCCGGUAAUACCCGAAGUCAGUAGUCCAACCUCGUGAGGACGCUGCCGAAGGUAGGAUUGGCGACUGGGGUGAAGUCGUAACAAGGUACC